ACGGAGCUUGCUCUGUGGGAUCAGUGGCGAACGGGUGAGUAACACGUGAGCAACCUGCCCCUGACUCUGGGAUAAGCGCUGGAAACGGCGUCUAAUACUGGAUAUGUGACGUGACCGCAUGGUCUGCGUCUGGAAAGAAUUUCGGUUGGGGAUGGGCUCGCGGCCUAUCAGCUUGUUGGUGAGGUAAUGGCUCACCAAGGCGUCGACGGGUAGCCGGCCUGAGAGGGUGACCGGCCACACUGGGACUGAGACACGGCCCAGACUCCUACGGGAGGCAGCAGUGGGGAAUAUUGCACAAUGGGCGCAAGCCUGAUGCAGCAACGCCGCGUGAGGGACGACGGCCUUCGGGCUGUAAACCUCUUUUAGCAGGGAAGAAGCGAAAGUGACGGUACCUGCAGAAAAAGCGCCGGCUAACUACGUGCCAGCAGCCGCGGUAAUACGUAGGGCGCAAGCGUUAUCCGGAAUUAUUGGGCGUAAAGAGCUCGUAGGCGGUUUGUCGCGUCUGCAGUGAAAUCCGGAGGCUCAACCUCCGGCCUGCAGUGGGUACGGGCAGACUAGAGUGCGGUAGGGGAGAUUGGAACUCCUGGUGUAGCGGUGGAAUGCGCAGAUAUCAGGAGGAACACCGAUGGCGAAGGCAGAUCUCUGGGCCGUAACUGACGCUGAGGAGCGAAAGGGUGGGGAGCAAACAGGCUUAGAUACCCUGGUAGUCCACCCCGUAAACGUUGGGAACUAGUUGUGGGGUCCAUUCCACGGAUUCCGUGACGCAGCUAACGCAUUAAGUUCCCCGCCUGGGGAGUACGGCCGCAAGGCUAA
rnacentral:rRNA from 1 species